UACGGAGGGUGCGAGCGUUGUCCGGAAUUACUGGGCGUAAAGCGUGCGCAGGCGGCUUCUCAAGUCAGGGGUGAAAGCCCAGAGCUCAACUCUGGAAUUGCCUUUGAGACUGAGUGGCUUGAGUACGAGAGAGGUGAGUGGAAUUCCCAGUGUAGAGGUGAAAUUCGUAGAUAUUGGGAAGAACACCGGUGGCGAAGGCGGCUCACUGGCUCGUAACUGACGCUCAUGCACGACAGCGUGGGGAUCAAACAGG
rnacentral:rRNA from 1 species